UUUAAUAAUUUAUUUGUUUGUGUGGAGAUCCUAGAUCUUUACAAGAGUAAUAUUCUAAUAUGGUGACAAGCAAUUUGGCUGUUUAAAAGAGGAUUCCCGACUCAAUAAUUUUGAGAAUUGCAAUGAAAUUCAGAUAAUAUUCCAACAGAAGUCUACAUAAGUUAGCAGAUCUUCACUAGAGUAAUAUUCAAAAAGAGGUAACACAAUUUAGUUGUAUGGAAGAGGAUUCCCGACUCAAUAUAUUUGGGAAUUGCAAUGAUAUUAAGCAAUAAUAUCUUAUUAAGAUAUUUCAAUGGAAGUCAACAGAAGUUAAUAGCAGAAUAGAAUGUGCUUUGAAGACCGAAAUAUCGAGAAAAGAGAAGCACAUCAUCUUUACAUGUCUAGAAUCAUCUUCCAUUUGUUUUC
rnacentral:lncRNA from 1 species